GAAAGACCACAUCUAAUAAGAUGUAUGAGAUGUUACUGAUGUUCGAUGAUGUCAUUCCUGAAGAGAACCAAGAGGAAGUCUUGACAAUACUCAGCGAGACCAAAUGGGAUGACCCGGUUGAAAGCAUUCGUCCAAUCAGAAACCAGCUGUGUGACCUCAUGAAUAUUACAAGGCCCAAGAUGUUAAAGGGUGCAACACCAAAGGAAGGUUAAACGUCCACGGAACCAAACAACAGUUGAGCUAUCAGGGUCAAAGUUCAGGGUCCAUUUGCAUAAAGCUUGUAAGCACAACAAUUUGCUUAGCAGAAACAGGUUACCAGCCCAAAUUACAUAAUUAUAGGCCUUUUUCAAGACCAUGGUUCGGCUUUGGAUUCGGUUUCAGGCUGAAACCCUGGGCGCGUAUACGCAAAGCAGGCGCAUUUGUCAAAAGAACCGCUGGGCCAAGCUAUCAUGAGCCAAAUCCAAAGCCAAAUCCAGUCGUAUCGAAAAGGGCCUAAGAUUGCAUGCUGGUGGCAGUAUUUUCUGCUUAUAAGUUGGGCCCUGGUCAUUUUGGAUUUGCACCAUAUGGCUGCUGGUGCUCUUCAUUAUUAAAUUAGAGGGAAGUGAUUGGUCAGUUGAUGGUCAAUUGCUCAAUUGUGAUUGAUUUGUUUGUGAAUAUUCUACAGCAUGAAAAUUUAAGAGGUGUGUUUGGUCAGCUUGCACUUAAUUUAAAAUGUGUUUAUGUGUGUAUUGAUAGUUAUUUAUAUAUAUGAAUAAUCAAAAUGCAUUUAUGUUGGGACCAAUUAAUCCUGAAACGCUAUCUGUUGAUUUCAUGAGUGAGGUGUUGUGGUCGUUAUGUUUGUUAAAGGCUGUAGGGGUCGUCAGAAAUGACUGGCCACCCUAACUGUGCCCUGCCAUGUCAAACUGCAAGAUGGAUUCACAGUGUUUGAUAUGGGCGUGAUUCCUGGCUCUACUGCAGUAACAGGUUGAAUGGCUUCUGACUUGCACCACUGAAUACAAAUACUGACAAAUUAGGUGGACAGCAAACAUUAGGACUAAAUAGCUCACUUAGUAGAUAUAUAUCUAGCCUAUGUCGCUCCAUACUGCAGAAGGAAGGCCUCUUCAUCACCAUUCCACCUUCUGAUCUUCCUUGUGCUUAUCGCAUCCAUGUGACAUCCAUGUGAUUUUUUUAAAUUCUCUGAUGUCGUCCAUCCCAGCGCCUACUUGAUCUGCCUCAUUGUCUUGUAAUUGGUAGCCAGCACUAAAUCUGGAGAUUGCAGGCCCAAGUACUGCUCUGUCAUUUUUACUUUUUUUUUCCAACCCAAAAUGAUUUAAACAUUAACCCAGUCUGUUUUACUCACUAACUUGUCUGUGCAUUAUGCCAGACAAUGGUAAUACAUGCAAUACAGACAAUAUAUCAGAAUACAGACAGCACGACAGCGAAGCCAAGUCUGUAUGCACAAAACAGUGAACACAUCUUGGUUAUGCUGUUUAGACUCUUUUCAUUUUUCUCGUCCAUAAUAUGAAUUUUCAUUUAACAAUUUAUAGUCACAGUGUGGGCCCUUCUCUUAAUAACAAUGUCAGUAUUUCAGAAAGCUUGUAAGCGUGCACAAAUUGCACAGAAAAAAAUUGUUCAACCGAAAUAGGUUGCCAGCCAAAAAUGUCAAUUUCGUUUAGAUUAACGUGUUUAGAUUGCUGUGACUGGUACCCCACAGGUAAUCAGGGGAAAACAAAGAGUGGAAAAAACCUGGAAAAAAACUAGUUCUAAUCUUUCUGCCUUACAGCUUCAAUCAAAUUUGGUCCAGCAUAUACCUAUAAUUGACUUUUACAUGAUGUGACAACAGAAUCACUUAGUAGAAAAUCUACUCAAUGUUUGUAUUCAAUGAGCUAAAAAUUGGAGUGAUAUAACAAUAAUCUCUGAACUGAUUCAAGAUUGUUUAAGGUUUCACUUCAGUUUAUGAGAAACUGUGAUGCAAGUCUUUCAAUGCACAUUUAAGGCUUUAAAUAGAAAACACAAUUAAUUGUUAUCGCUAGCAAAGAAAUGAAGUGUAAGUCACAACCUUGGAGCUUACUGAUUAUAAAGUUGAUAUUAUACCUUAACAAAAUAGACAUGCCAUUUGAAAUAAAUUUGAACAGAUGACAUGUAAAGACUGGCGUGUGAUUUGUGAAGAUUUGUCCUUAUUACAGGAUUUCUCACUGAUCUCCCUGCAUCUUCAAAUUUUCAUGAAAGAGCAGACUUGCCAAGACUUAUAUGAAAAGACUGGUUCUGACCAGACGUAAAGGUAUCUGUUUGAAAUGAUCUACAAAGUCUGCACACCUCUAAAUUGUGACAUUCUGUACAUUCAGGUAGCUUCGUUUUGACAAAAAGGGGAAACUGUUAUCCAUUUUUUUUUCUUCUUCAGGUUUAUACAAUUUCACAACUAUCGACCAUAAAAAAUCACAAUUGCCUUUAUAUUUGAUCGAUUGCUGCAAUGGAAAUGCUUGUAAUGUAUGGUAGGAAGGUGCAAAAGAAAAUAAGCAGGAGUAGAAUAUAAAGCAAGACAAGUUAUCAAAAGAACAUAAUCUACCUAUAAGCAAUCAGAUACAACAAACAUGGUGAGCUCCGCCAAACCAAAUAGAUAGAAAAAUAAGUUGUUUUUGUUGUGUUCACUAAAACGAGAGUGUUUAGAGACAACAAUGAGAAUAGACUCUUCCCCAACCCAAUGAUAUACUACAUAUCCUUUAAGCUGUAAUGGAAAGCUAUAAUGGUAAAAGUUCUAAAUGGAAACCAUUAUUAAACCUCAGUGUGCAGCAAAGCCAUUGAGUCUGAUUGAUAACAAUCAAAAAGUGCCGGGCAGCUGUAACUACUGCCUUAAGAUUGCCACCCUGCAUCGUUAUAUUGUGAGGAUCCCAGUUAAGUGUUAAUGCGGGCAGUAAUAGCGUGAGUUGGGGGUCGUAAAUGAAGUCAUUCCCCGCUCUGAAAGUGUCCCUAAAGUAGCGAUGUCUCGGUCUUUGACAAGUGUGUUUGUUGCUUUCUUGCAUUCGCUACAUCGUAUUCAGACUCUAUUAAAUGAAAGAGGGGGGAUCCAUUUCAAUGAUCAACCCAGCAGUCUUAUUUAUGGUUACUCGUUUCCUCUCUGUCUUCUCUCCUUUAUGUCUUGACAAAUCUGCGACGCUUAAGUGCUGCAUUUGUCAGCGUUUUGACUUUAGUUCUUUUUUUCUUUUUUUCUUUUUUUGCGGGAAUGAAAGAUGGGUAGAACCACUUUGUGAUAUGAAACCCGCACGCACAGAGCACGAUAAUGGGUUUGGCUUUAAUGACACCAAGGUGAAUCGAAUGGAAAUGGCAGAUACCGAAGAUUAAUGACUCGGCGGUUUGAAGAUGGAGCAACAAAACAAAAACAAGAAUUAGGAGCAAGUUUUUAAAAACCACUCAAAGGAAGUUGUAUUAUCUAAGGGGGGGGGGUGCUAUACAAUCCAGAUAGUUCGUACGUCAUGUAAGACAUCAUGACAUGACGUCACAAUAUGCAAAUUAUCGUAGACUGCUCCCAGUUAAGAUAACAUAUUUUACUGAGUAUCUGUCUGUAGGACCUGCUUUAGUUGGCAGAUUGGAUGACUUUACUAAGGAAACAUUUACACCAGUCCUGUUUGCAGGGUGGAGGAAUGAAAAACGCUUAUCUUUUGCUCAGAACAAGGUCAUUAAAGGCAGUGGACACUAUUGGUAAUUGUCAAAAUCCAGUCUUCUCACUUGGUGUGUCUCAACAUGU